GUGCUCGCUUCGGCAGCACGUACACUAAAAUUGGAACAAUACAAAGAAGAUUAGCAUGGCCCUGUGCAAGGAUUUAAAAAAAAAUACUUGAGAAAAUUCAAAGUACU